UAUAUGACUUUCGUAAUCCGCUACGUUUCCUUUUGCACAUUUGUUGCUUUUACACACACUUGGCACUCGUUUUAGGGUAGUGACCCGGGUUGUCAUCAUCCGGACGUCUCGAUUUCCCCGUGUCCAUGUGUGGGGAUUUCGAGACGUCACAUGAUUGGUCAAAAAAUAGAUUUUAUUUAAAACAGUGUUAAUUUAUAUUUUAAAUAUGAAUGAAUCAGUAUUGGUACACAGAUUAGUACGCGACUAUACUUGUAUAUAGCAAAACUCUUCAUAUUAACCCACUAAAUGAAACGGCAUCGUUAUGUCCAUUAGAAAACGGCGCCGUUUCAUUUACUUUUAACCCUAAAGGGUUAAACCCCCCCCGCCCCCGCGUCACCCCCUCCCUUCGGCAGUGACUUCUCAAAAUCUCUCUCUCUCUCUCCUACCCCAGUACCCCGUUCUCUCCUCCCUCUCGUAGUCUUGGUUGGAGAGUCCUUGGAGUCGCUCUCAUUCUCUCCUCUCUCUCGCACAAUGCCGGACGCACGCCGUACGAUACACGCACAUCUGCAACAUAAAAUUGUGCUGAAGCUCGAGCCGCCCCAAUUGUCACAGACUCACAGUCAAAGACAAGCCAUAGCUGACAAGCCUCUUUAGAAUAUUCAAUUUUUAAUUAUUUAUUCAUAUUUUGUAUUCAAUGAUUUGUAAUGUUGAUACAAUGUCCCUUGGACACUUUUAUA